rnacentral:rRNA from 1 species
UACGUAGGGUGCAAGCGUUGUCCGGAAUUAUUGGGCGUAAAGAGCUCGUAGGCGGUCUGUCGCGUCGGCUGUGAAAACCCGGAGCUCAACUCCGGGCCUGCAGUCGAUACGGGCAGACUGGAGUUCGGCAGGGGAGACUGGAAUUCCUGGUGUAGCGGUGAAAUGCGCAGAUAUCAGGAGGAACACCGGUGGCGAAGGCGGGUCUCGUGGGGCCCGAUGACUGACGCUGAGGAGCGAAAGCGUGGGGAGCGAACAGG